UAAAUGUUGUCUCUUGAGGCCAGGAUGCUAAAGCCCCGUGGCUUUUAUUGACAGUUUGAUUACAAAUGUGUCGUCCAAAGUGAGUAAGAAUUGGGCAUAUCAUGAAAACAAAAAGGCUUGAGGUUGGUGACCAAAAAGAAAAAAGACAAAGACGAACAAACAAACAAACAAAAAGAGCUAAAAGGGCGAGCAACGCCAUCAGAGAACCAUAAACACACCACGUUGGUCGGUAUUGGGCUUUAAAACGAUGUUGGGGACGAACGGAGUCCAAAGCCGACAGUGUUGGCCUUUUAACGAAAAGUUUACACUUGUGUAGUUCAUCCCACUUCUUUGGAUGGAAGUUUAUUGGAUGACUUGGACAAAGCGUAAUUGUAUCGUCUGGUAUCAAUGGAAAGUCUCAAAAGUCUCUGAGGAAAAGUUACAUGCAUGCCCGUGCAACAUGUGCCUCAGGUGAAUUCGAAGAGCAAAGUGAUUGAAAGAAAAUCGUUCUAAUCAAUGCCUUAUAGGACUUGUUAUCUCGGCUGGGAAUGCUGACGAACAUACCAGAAAGUUAUUUGCAAAAUCUGUGGCUUGUUCACCAAUUCCAGAUUCGUUGGUGUUAAGGGUAUUACAAAGGCUCCCGCCCAAGUUUGCCAUUGAGAUUUAAUAUGCCAAAUGGCUGUGAUGAUGAAAAAUGAGUGAUUUUCAUUUCAUCAGGCACACAAGGAUUAAUUCUGUAGGGAACCUAAAGGCUCAUAAUGCAGUUUAGAGCAUUUAGGAAGCCAGUGACACUUGCCACCAUUAUGAAAAUUUACAAAAACACUGACCAAGAAUGUCACCAAAAAAGAUUCCUUGCAAGGGUGUUUCAUCUGAAAAUGGAGCUUUUAAUGAACAGAAGACCAAGAGUAAGAAAAAGGCAAAGUAGACCAAGAAAAUACUUUGUGUAAUAUGCAUACAUUGAAAGACAAUAUUUAUUUGUUAAUCCUUUGCCUUGUAACUAUGGGCAAGGUGAGCCAAACUUACAUAUUCUGCAAGUGUCUCUAUAGUAAUUUGAUAUCAUCUUUUCAAUCCUUAAGUAUCUUUUAAGAAUGCUGUGCUGGAGGACUUAAAGGAAGGAGUGCACUCAAUGAGUAGUCACUGUGGCUCCUCCUCCUUUGGGUUUCUUCUAUAAACCUGUUUGGCCUCUGAAGCAUAACUGUUUUAGGAGAAGAGAAAAUGUUUUGGAUCAUACCAUGAUGACUUGAGUGUUUUAUCAGUCCCAUCUGUUGUCUGAAGCAAGAAAGCAGGCUUGGGAGAAAAAGUUGCCAUUCUGGAUCAGUUUUUUUGGCAGCAUUGUCCUGGCAAUUAUGGAAAAAAAAUCAAGUGAAUGUGCUUAAUUCCUGUCAUGAAGGAUUUGAUGAAAUGGAGUAAAGUGACUGACAGGUUGUGAUUUAUUGAUAAGCAAUCCAAGACUGGGGUAAAAAUAUUGCUCACAGCUGAUAUUCAACUUUCAAGCAUACUAUCUUUAGUUAAUGGCUUCUUUGUAAUUCAAUUCAAAAUAAGAAAGUGUCCAAUGCAAUAAGUUGUUGGAAUAAGAAACACAAUGGCUGUCUUUACUCAUUGGAAAUUAUGGUGGAGGCUUACAUUUUGUAUCUUAAUAUCAGUCUAAAUAAAAAAUAAUGGUAUUAAAGAUGUUUUCACCCUAAGCAAAUCCAAAUAGAAACUUAUUCAAAUU